UUCGGGAGACAGGGAGACAGGUGUGCAUGGUUGUCGUCAGCUCGUGUCGUGAGAUGUUGGGUUAAGUCCCGCAACGAGCGCAACCCCUACGUUUAGUUGCUAACGCGUGAAGGCGAGCACUCUAGACGAACUGCCGUUGACAAAACGGAGGAAGUGGGGAUGACGUCAAAUCAUCAUGCCCCUUAUGUUCUGGGCUACACACGUGCUACAAUGGCCGGUACAGACGGACGCAAAGCCGCGAGGUGGAGCAAAUCCGAAAAAGCCGGUCUCAGUUCGGAUUGCAGGCUGCAAUUCGCCUGCAUGAAGUCGGAAUCGCUAGUAAUCGCAGGUCAGCAUACUGCGGUGAAUACGUUCCCGGGCCUU
rnacentral:rRNA from 1 species